rnacentral:sRNA from 1 species
GCUUAUUUCUGACUGUUGUAAUCUCAUGUAACUCUUGAUAUUCUUUCAUUUUAUGUUUUGCAUUUGUAUAGUUUCUAACAAUUCUUCUGUGUAGCUUUUAACAUUCUUCUGCUCUGUGUUUUACAUUUGUAUAGUAUCUAACAAUUCUUCUGUGUAGCUUCUAAUAUUCUCUCAUUUCAUGUUUCACACUUGUAUAGUCUCUAACAAUUCUUCUGUGUAGUCUUCAAUGAUUCUUUCAUUUCAUACUUCACACUCAUGUAGUUUCUAAUGAUUCUUCUGUGUAGCUCUCAAUGAUUCUUUUAUCCCAC